rnacentral:lncRNA from 1 species
GGGGCAGCAAGAGAGGAGAAGGGGGUAUAGAGGGGAAGAGGGGACCCCAGUGAGGACAGAAGCAGCAGGUUCCUCCUGUCCCCAGACACACACCUCUUUUCCCACCCAGCCCUCUGUUUGCAGAAUUGGAAGCAAUCGUGCAACUGUUUCUGCCCACACAGAGGAAAACAAGCCUCCGGAAUGUGUCAUCAACACAGUCUGGCCCCUCCUCUGCUGCCGGAAAUAGUGAAAUCCUCCCAGAUCAUCAGUGCUCCUAUAUCCAUGCGUCCCUCUGUGCCCCGUGAUUUGGCUGCAAGGUGGCUAGAGCCCCCGCCCCUUCACCUUGACAUCUGCCCUGUGACAACCAAUGGGAUGUUGGAGGCUAUGACGUAACCAAAGGCUUGCAAAGUGCUCACCUGAUUGGGCUUGCUCUCGCUGGCCUCUGCAGCCGUUGCCCUGAGAAGAACAAGCCUAGAGUGGUGUGCUGGGGCCAGGAGGAGGAGGGGGGGGAGGCAUACAUGGAGCAGGAUCAAACCACCCCAGUCUAGCCCAGCUGAGAUCAGCCUACUCCUAGCUGAUCUAGAAUAAAUGAUUGUUGUUGUAAAUCACUGGGAGUGGAGUGGUUUGGUUAGCAGCAUUUUCUGGCAAUAGAGAAGUGAUAAGCCACCUUUUGCAGAUUUUGGCUUCCUGAUGUCUUCUGAGCACCCGCCUCCUUCCCACCCCCUGCCUCAGUUCCAGCCUCCUAAUGGCUUCCUAUCCCCACACUGUAGCCAGUUCUCUGGCUGGUCCCUACUUACUAUCCCGUUCUCAGCCCAGCCUAAACCUUUAAAAUGUCCCUCCACGGCUCUCGGUAGAAAGUCCCCUUCUUAGCUUAGCAUUUAAGGCCCUUUAUGAUACUGC